ACUGGUUCCUUGCAGCUGUGACUCCCCAGGGUAAGAGGCAAAGAGCCACCAGGUCCCAGCUGAGGAAGCCCUGUGGUCAGCUCAGACAGGGAUGCGGACUGAAGCCGAAGCAGGUGUUAGUAAUUGUCGUACCUACAGACGAGGAAACCGAGCCUCCAUGAAGUGAAGUGACUCACCCACAGUCACACAGCUAAUAUAUGCCAGAGCCCACAGCAGAACCCAGACGUACUGAGGCCAAGUUCCAUGCCAGCAUAAAACAGGCUCCAGUUCUCCCUGGAUUCCAGGAACACCAUCUCCUUCCUCGUCCCUUCCAUCCCAGGGAAGGUUUACACUGAAAAUUUUUUGUGAUGAAAAGAUUUGAAGAAGAUGACAGGAGAUGGAGAAGCACCAGCUGAUCUGCAGACUCCAAGGAGGUCCCAGGAAGAGGUGUCAUCCACUAAGAUCUUCUGGGACAGGAAAGCCCUGUGAUACCUCUUACAUCACACCAAACAGAGCCCCACACCAAGAAAAGAGCUGCCCACACCUCACAGAAGCCAUGUUAGUGGACAUUUCUCCACUCUGGAAGCCUUCCUGCGUGGUGGAGGCCAGUGCAGACCAUCCUCUGCCCAGAAGAGUUGCAUUCUAAAUGACCCCUCAGAGAGCCCUCUGGAUGGCCGCCUCUCCCACAGGUCCCUGCAAUCACAUAAAAAACACUCAUUGCAGCCAAGAUGCACAAAGCACAGUAUUGAUUUCAUACUCAGGUUUUUCCAAAACAAAUCAUAAACCCACACCAAUUAUGUCCAAUCAGUUUUAUGGAUAAAGAAGCCUGAGACUCUCCAACAGGAGAGCUUGAGUUUCCCUUCUCACUCUUGUGCUGGGUGUCCUUUUCCUACCUCCAGACCAUCACAAGGAUAUCUGUAAUGUAGAUGAGGCCAGUCCUUUUGCCCAAUGUUGACAGACAAGAGGAAGAUUCCAGGGAGAAAUGCCGCAGCAGCAAAUGAAUAUGAAUGAUGCUUUUCCACUUUGUGCUUAUAAAAUGCCUUUUGUACCAGAAUCUCAAAGCUCUCCAGGAAGCAAGGCUUUGAAUGGGACUUUCACUCGGGGUAAACAUGAGUGGUCGGAGCUUCCCAAGUCAUUUGUGAUAAGAAAGAACAAAAGUCCGGGCACUUUUAAAAUGCAAUAUUCUUGCCUUCUGGGUAGUAAACAAAGUGUGCAGAUGGAUAAUGACAUCUGUGGAUUCUGGCUCCACUUCCUAGAGAGAAAAAAAACAUGUAAAUAAAUACGUAAAAAAUUGUCAUAUGUGGAUGACACCCUUGGUUCAUCCAGUAGUUACCAUUCUGCCUAACAUUCACGAGCUAUGGAUUCUAUUACUGGGUCCCUUGUGACUGCAUUACACUGAGAAAGUAAAAUAUAUUUCUCUUCAAUGCCUGAGGGAAGAUAAAUGUUAUAGAAAUGUUUAGUAAAAAGGUCCAGUCAGUGGCUUUGACACUUGAUGCUUUUGCACUAAGCAGUGCUGUCCUUUUGUUCUCUCCAUUGGAAGCCUCCUUGUAAAUGUUUAAUAGCUAAAUGACUCACCAGAGUCUGCAAAGGUCAGGCCCUUAACUGGAAAGGCAGAGGGGAACUCAGAAGCAGUCUCUAUCAGAUUGAUUGGAAGGUUCAUUUGAGAAUUCUUUCCUUCUCAUCCUUAGUUUAAGGUGCACAUGCAGCAUGAAUAACUGCCUGGGCUCCAGCCACCGACAUGCCUGAACAGCAGACAUUAGUGACUCUGACACUCUUCCUAGGAUUCAUUCAGGGUAUUAAUCAGCUUCAGAGGAAAACUCACAAACACUCUAAGAAGAAUUCUGUUGCAAAAGUGAUACCUAGCAGAGACAGUCUGCCCUUGCAGUCACUUGCAUUAUAUCCCAAAAGUCAAUGCUAAGAGCUUGCAAAAGAAUUUGAGUUCAUCAGGUGUCCAGAAAAUAAACUCCUUCAAAUGCAGUCGAAAUAGUUUCAAUAACUUCAAAUACUCUGCCUGUUAUGAAUCUACAGAGCAGCAAUUAAAUAAUUAUCAGUUAAUGAUUCAAUGUCAGAUACCUAUAACCAAGGGUGUCUUGCUAUUACACUGAAAAUUACAUAUUAAGGUUUUGCUGGGGUGCAGAAAAUGAUCCCCCAAAAUAUAGUGCUUCGGCAUGCCGAGUACUUUGAAAAUCGGAAGGUUUUAGAAAUCAGCCUUAGACCCAAGCUCUCUUUCUGACUUUCCUUACCUCCUUGUUUCUCUGAUCCUCUUUCUAGAAGCACCUGGAGGGACUGGACUGACUCUCUGGAAUUUUCUUAUCUAACAAAGCUUCUUUCCAAAAAAAAAAAGGCAAUUGUCUUAAGACCACCCCCCCCAUCUUUAGGAAUCUCAUCAAAUGACCAGGAAAGAAGCAAAGAGACGGAGUUGUCACUAUACCCAGAUAGACUACUCAUCUAUUCUCGAGGGCAGGUCUGACAACCUUUGUGCAAGGUGACGUUUCACUCCUCACCUUCCCAACACCUCCCCCAGAGCUCAGAGGAACUUUUGUCAUUUACUCCUACACACCUCAUCCCCGCCUUCCCUAAGAAGAGAGGGUAGACAGGCAUCUGGACCCUGCUGGGUUAUUAGGCCAUUACUCUUCUGCAAUUCCCCAUGGUAUGCACGUUAAAAUAAACGCAUGCCUUUUCUCCUGUUGCUCUGCCUUUUUCAGUUCAUUUUCAGCAAACCUUCAGAGGGUGAAAGGGGAAGUUUUCUUCUUUGUCCCUACAUUUUGCAUUGUCUUAUACCUUGACAUUUUUCUACUCGUCAAGUUAAACUGUAAAGCAAAAUAUAGAUCAUUAGCUGACUAAUUAUUUUUGAGUUAAAAAGUAGCUAGCAUUUGGUUUUGGGUACCACAGUGUGUCUAAUAUAGUCUUUUUAGAAGCAAUGAUCUAUAAACAUUUUUUAUCAUUCACCAUUUCUGGUUGAGUAAAGUGACUCACAGUUGUAGUCCUACCUAUUCAGGACGCUGAGGCAGGAGGAUCACUUCAGCCGAGGAAGGAGUUCAAGUCCAGCCUGGACGGUCUCUAAAAAUAUUAAAAUUUAAAAAAAAUUCUGAACAUGCAACCCCAAUAUGUAUUUAUUUGUAAAUGAUAUACUGUCACUAAUACAUUGACAUUAAACAAGUAGAAAACAAUGUAACAUUUUAAUUUAUUGACUGAUAAUUAGUUCUAUUUUCAUUAAUAUUUUUUAAAAGAGCAAAACUGCUGAAUAGGCUUCUUUUAUUUUUGAGAAUCUUUGUUGAAAACUUUGUGGUGUAACAGUUUGAGGUCUCCUUCCAAGUCAAGUUUAUUUUAAAAUGUGGUUUUAAUGGCUGUCGUCACUUAAAAUAUCUCAAAAGAUAAGCAAGCCUACUUGAAAAAAUCACCCGGUCUCAGGGUUUACUAAAUCAAACUGCUCAUUUCGGUUGUAUGCACAAAUCACGCACAGGUUUUAACUGAAAUUUAAUUAGUUAAAUUUCCAUCUUCUUUGAAGUCCAUCAGUCUUUUUUUUAACAAACCAAUUAAACAGUAUCAAG
rnacentral:lncRNA from 1 species